rnacentral:rRNA from 1 species
UACGGAGGAUCCAAGCGUUAUCCGGAUUCAUUGGGUUUAAAGGGUGCGUAGGCGGCUUAUUAAGUCAGCGGUGAAAUCCUGGAGCUUAACUCCAGAACUGCCAUUGAUACUGAUGAGCUUGAGUACACUUGAAGUGGGCGGAAUGUGUCGUGUAGCGGUGAAAUGCUUAGAUAUGACACAGAACACCGAUUGCGAAGGCAGCUCACUAAAUUGUCAUUGACGCUGAGGCACGAAAGCGUGGGGAUCAAACAGG